rnacentral:rRNA from 1 species
AACGAACGCUGGCGGCAGGCUUAACACAUGCAAGUCGAACGCCCCGCAAGGGGAGUGGCAGACGGGUGAGUAACGCGUGGGAAUCUACCCAGUUCUACGGAACAACUGAGGGAAACUUCAGCUAAUACCGUAUACGCCCUACGGGGGAAAGAUUUAUCGGAAUUGGAUGAGCCCGCGUUGGAUUAGCUAGUUGGUGAGGUAACGGCUCACCAAGGCGACGAUCCUUAGCUGGUCUGAGAGGAUGAUCAGCCACACUGGGACUGAGACACGGCCCAGACUCCUACGGGAGGCAGCAGUGGGGAAUAUUGGACAAUGGGCGCAAGCCUGAGCCAGCCAUGCCGCGUGAGUGAUGAAGGCCUUAGGGUUGUAAAGCUCUUUCAGUGGGGACGAUAAUGACGGUACCCACAGAAGAAGCCCCGGCUAACUUCGUGCCAGCAGCCGCAGUAACAC